ACUUACAGAAUGUUCCGGAUCAACAAGAGUCUUUAUUGGUUGAAAAAGAAAACGGGACCACUAAGAGUAGAGUUUUAGGACCUACAAAGAAGAAGGAGGAUAAGCGUAGUCUUAUGGAAAGUUCUAUUAAUUCUGGAAGCAGUAAUUAUUUAGAAAUUAUUAAAAAAAUUAAUUCGAUUGGUGACGAAGAAAGCGACGAGG